CAGUCAUACCAACGGGAAAUCAACCUUUUGAGCUCGGUCUCGUGGGUUUUGAAGAGUUUCAAAGCCUUCAGAUUUGUGAGAUUGGGAUCUCUUGGUGCACUUUUUCGUACGGUUAGUCAACAUCGGUUUUAAUCAUUAUAAAAUGGUUGAAGGAAUGUAACUUUGAUUUCGAUCGAGGUAUUAUAGUCCUUUGACAGAUGUAAUGAUCAAGACCGAGGAUUGCAACGGAUA
rnacentral:rRNA from 1 species